GCGAUUUAUCUCGCAAGUCUCGAAUCGCAUCUGACGUUUCAUUACAUAAUCGAUAUGCAAUUCUAACCUUCGAACGCACGAAAUUAAUCGACCGAUGUAUCCGUAGAUUUUGAUGGCUACUUCCAGUUUCAAAGCCAUCAGAUACUUGGUGAAACGUAACUUGGUCAGUGUCCUGUUCCCUACACUUACGGUGUAUUCGAUUUUCUUGGAUUUGAGACACACGGCUCGUUGGAAGCAGCAACUAGCACAGGAACAGGGACACUAAGACGGUAGAGAACAUGUGGAAGUAUUAUUGGACACUCAUCUUCCCUAUCUCGGGUUUCCUACUCGGACAUAAACUGGAUCACCUGGAGACGGAGCGAAUGACGAUGUUCAGGGACAAAUCGGCGUUGUACGGCAGAGAAUUGAAACCUGGAGAACCACCGUCCUGGCCGUAUUAAUCUCAUGUUUAUUAUGCAUCGUUGAAUCUUAAGAAGUUGCAGAAUCAGUUAGUUCUAUGGAACUUUACAGGAAACUCCGGAUACACGUGUGCAAUGUUCGGCGUGCUCAUUUAAACUGAACUUUCCUUUAACGUUCGUUUGGACCUCAUAGAGUGAGAUAUGCAGGCUUUGCUUGUAUUGUGUGCUGGUCAAGGAUCUUUCAACGUAUACCUGAAAGACGAGCUGUCGGGGGUGAGGUCCUUUUAAAAGCCAGUUCCAUCGGACCGCGCAGGCGGAUUCAUAAUAUUUUACCUGCCUCUUUUACGUUACAUAAAACAUGUAUAUGUAUGUUGUAGGAACAACCUUGGUUCUACCCUUUUUUUUAUUGAGAUUGUUUCAGAAAUGAAAAUAUCUGACAAAUUGCCAUAAUAAAAAAGUUUCUGUUGAAACAAUUUUAAUUAUAAA